CUGUUGAGAUUUACCAACACCAACGUUUAAAAAAAAAUCUUGCCAGAAUCUGACUGCGGCUAUUUUACAUGUACCUCUGUGCUCAGUUGGAAAUUAAGAAUACUUGUCUUCCUUAGAACCUCUUACAAAUGUAUUAAUAACUGGCUGCCUUUCUCCCAAACGGGCACCUUGCACUAGCUAAUCAAUGGUUUUAGAUGAUAAUAGUACAUAAAACCACAUCACAGGACCCAGAAUAUAGCAACCAGAAUAUAUGAGACCACGCACAAGGAAGCAAGGCGGUGACCAUCUUUAGUACCACAGCUGCCGCCGCGGUGUGUAGGAUGUGUGUGAUGUGCGUGUUGGGUCGUCACCUGCUAUUGUGAUUUGUCAUAUAAUAACUCUCUAAUAAGUGUACCGUGAACAUGCAUCAUUCUAGUUUAGUGGAAGAGGAAAUGCAGACGAUGGCAAGGCUUAGGACUACUUCACUGCGCACGUUGGCGCCAUCCACCACCUCAGAGAACGCCGCCUGACACUUGAUGCGCCGCUGGUGUUGCCUGAGCCUUGCCCCACGCUCCUGGUGCAGAUGGGAAACAAGUGUGUCGUGCCUUGCGUGGCGGAUCCUGUCAAGCUUUAUGUGUGCAUGCGUGAACUUUUAAGCACCCCCGCCAGGCGUCAUCGGGUUAUCGUCACGCCAAAGUACGCAGAAUUCGUUUUCCUGGUGACAGUCCUUCACGGCGUAACAGGUGAAAGAGUGAAGGAGUUGAGGUGGAGAUGUGAAAGUAAAGGGAAGGACUGGAAAGGUCAUUCACUCUACACUUUCCCUUUGCCUCGUCCAGGUAGCCAAUUAGCUUCCCCUUGUGCUGCUUCAUGUCCUCUGCUGGCCGACCCUUAGCCUACCUGGUCGU